rnacentral:rRNA from 1 species
AACGAACGCUGGCGGCGUGCUUAACACAUGCAAGUCGAACGAGAACGGGUUAUAGCUUGCUAUAAUUGUCAGCUAAGUGGCGCACGGGUGAGUAAUGUAUAGGUAAUAUGCCUCUUACUAAGGGAUAACAAAUGGAAACGUUUGCUAAUACCUUAUACUCCUUAUUAACAUAAGUUAAUAAGGGAAAGAUUUAUUGGUAAGAGAUUAGCCUGUAUUGUAUCAGUUAGUUGGCGGGGUAAUGGCUUACCAAGACUAUGACACAUAACUGGUUUGAGAGGAUGAUCAGUCACACUGGAACUGAGACACGGUCCAGACUCCUACGGGAGGCAGCAGUGGGGAAUAUUGCACAAUGGACGAAAGUCUGAUGCAGCAACGCCGCGUGGAGGAUGACACAUUUCGGUGCGUAAACUCCUUUUAUAUGAGAAGAUAAUGACGGUAUUAUAUGAAUAAGCACCGGCUAACUCCGUGCCAGCCGCCGCCGUAAUAC